GGGGCUAUAGCUCAGCUGGGAGAGCGCCUGCCUUGCACGCAGGAGGUCAGCGGUUCGAUCCCCCUUAGCUCCACCA
rnacentral:tRNA from 1 species